AUGGCUAUUCUGGGACAAUUUCUGAGCUUCAAAGGCUUGCAUUUUGGAUCAGUGCUGAGUUGUCUCUGUUUGGCAUUUGUGCUGGAAGCAGUCCCAGAAUUUCCAGGCAUCCCUGAGAAAAUGGGCCUGUAUUUCCUGUGUGGUGUCUCUGGAGGCCUUAUCUUUCUAUUACGCAUCUUUACUUCCAAAAUGAUCUUUGUCCAAGAAAUGAAAGAAGUUUCUGGGUGUAUAAAUUCCAAGUUGGGCAAGAAAAAGCUACAGGAUCAGGAAGAAGAAGAAAACCACAAUGAUGACAGUUCUUCUGGUUCCUCUUUCCAUCACUUUACGUACACCUAUCCAUCCUUGAAUAGCAUGUUUUGCCCUGAGCUGACUGCAGCUUUAGAGCAUUCAGCUAACGGAAGAAAGAGAUGA
rnacentral:lncRNA from 1 species